CUGUCAGGGGAAUGAUGUACUAUUAUCGAGCUCUAAAGCUUCUAGCUUUUCUAGAUUUUUCAUCAAAAACAGAUACUAACG